UACGUAGGGGGGCAAGCGUUGUCCGGAAUUAUUGGGCGUAAAGAGCUUGUAGGCGGUCUGUCGCGUCUGCUGUGAAAAUCCGGGGCUCAACCCCGGACUUGCAGUGGGUACGGGCAGACUAGAGUGUGGUAGGGGAGACUGGAAUUCCUGGUGUAGCGGUGAAAUGCGCAGAUAUCAGGAGGAACACCGAUGGCGAAGGCAGGUCUCUGGGCAUUAACUGACGCUGAGGAGCGAAAGCAUGGGGAGCGAACAGG
rnacentral:rRNA from 1 species